rnacentral:rRNA from 1 species
UGGGGAAUCUUGCGCAAUGGGCGAAAGCCUGACGCAGCGACGCCGCGUGCGGGAGGACGGCCUUCGGGUCGUAAACCGCUGUUGCCCGGGACGAAUGCCCCUUUCGAGGGGAUUGACGGUACCGGGUGAGGAAGCACCGGCUAACUCCGUGCCAGCAGCCGCGGUAAUACGGAGGGUGCGAGCGUUGUCCGGAAUCACUGGGCGUAAAGGGCGCGUAGGCGGCGCGGGAAGGCGGCGGUGAAAGUCCGGGGCUCAACCCCGGAUCGGCCGUGGCGACUCCCGCGCUGGAGCACAGUAGAGGCGGGUGGAAUUCCGGGUGUAGCGGUGGAAUGCGUAGAGAUCCGGAAGAACACCGGUGGCGAAGGCGGCCCGCUGGGCUGUGGCUGACGCUGAGGCGCGACAGCGUGGGGAGC